AUUGACCGCUGGCGGCAGGCCUAACACAUUCCAGUCGAGCGAGCGGCGGACGGGUGAGUAAUGUAUGGGGUCUGCCCGAUAGAGGGGGAUAACUACUGGAAACGGUAGCUAAUACCGCAUCCUAUCGGAUAACCCAUAUGUGAUUAGCUAGUUGGUGAGGUAAUGCCUCACCAAGGCGACGAUCCCUAGCUGGUCUGAGAGGAUGAUCAGCCACACUGGGACUGAGACACGGCCCAGACGCCUACGGAGGCAGCAGGGGGGAAUAUUGCACAAUGGGCGCAAGCCUGAUGCAGCCAUGCCGUGUGUAUGAAGAAGGCCCUAGGGUUGUAAAGUACUUUCAGUCGGGAGGCGUUACCGACAGAAGAAGCACCGGCUAACUCCGUGCCAGCAGCCGCGGUAAUUC
rnacentral:rRNA from 1 species